CCUACGGGAGGCUGCAGUAGGGAAUCUUCGGCAAUGGACGGAAGUCUGACCGAGCAACGCCGCGUGAGUGAAGAAGGUUUUCGGAUCGUAAAGCUCUGUUGUAAGAGAAGAACGAGUGUGAGAGUGGAAAGUUCACACUGUGACGGUAUCUUACCAGAAAGGGACGGCUAACUACGUGCCAGCAGCCGCGGUAAUACGUAGGUCCCGAGCGUUGUCCGGAUUUAUUGGGCGUAAAGCGAGCGCAGGCGGUUAGAUAAGUCUGAAGUUAAAGGCUGUGGCUUAACCAUAGUACGCUUUGGAAACUGUUUAACUUGAGUGCAGAAGGGGAGAGUGGAAUUCCAUGUGUAGCGGUGAAAUGCGUAGAUAUAUGGAGGAACACCGGUGGCGAAAGCGGCUCUCUGGUCUGUAACUGACGCUGAGGCUCGAAAGCGUGGGGAGCGAACAGGAUUAGAUACCCGGGUAGUC
rnacentral:rRNA from 1 species